rnacentral:rRNA from 1 species
GACGAACGCUGGCGGCGUGCCUAACACAUGCAAGUCGAACGGAGAGUUAGCAAUAACUCUUAGUGGCGAACGGGUGAGUAACGCGUGGGCAACCUGCCCUUCAGACGGGGACAACAUUCCGAAAGGAGUGCUAAUACCGGAUACGACCUUUUUACCGCUUGGUGAAGAGAAGAAAGGUGGCCUCUAUUUAUAAGCUACCGCUGAAGGAUGGGCCUGCGUCUGAUUAGCUAGUUGGUGGGGUAAAGGCCUACCAAGGCGACGAUCAGUAGCCGGUCUGAGAGGAUGAACGGCCACAUUGGGACUGAGACACGGCCCAAACUCCUACGGGAGGCAGCAGUGGGGAAUCUUCCGCAAUGGACGAAAGUCUGACGGAGCAACGCCGCGUGAGUGAAGAAGGUCUUCGGAUCGUAAAGCUCUGUUUAAAGGGACGAAUGGUUAGUAUGUAAAUAAUGUAUUGACAUGACGGUACCUUUGGAGGAAGCCACGGCUAACUACGUGCCAGCAGCCGCCGUAACAC